rnacentral:rRNA from 1 species
UGGGGAAUAUUGCACAAUGGGCGGAAGCCUGAUGCAGCGACGCCGCGUGGGGGAUGAAGGCCUUCGGGUUGUAAACUCCUUUCGACAGGGACGAAGCUUUUGUGACGGUACCUGUAUAAGAAUCACCGGCUAACUACGUGCCAGCAGCCGCGGUAAUACGUAGGGUGCGAGCGUUGUCUGUAAUUACUGGGCGUAAAGAGCUCGUAGGUGGUUUGUCGCGUCGUCUGUGAAAUUCCGGGGCUUAACUCCGGGCGUGCAGGCGAUACGGGCUGGCUUGGGUGCUGUAGGGGAGACUGGAAUUCCUGGUGUAGCGGUGAAAUGCGCAUAUAUCAGGAGGAACACCGAUGGCGAAGGUAGGUCUCUGGGCAGUAACUGACGCUGAGGAGCGAAAGCAUGGGUAGCGAACAGG